rnacentral:rRNA from 1 species
AUUGAACGCUGGCGGCAGGCCUAACACAUGCAAGUCGAGCGGAUGAAGGGAGCUUGCUCCCUGAUUCAGCGGCGGACGGGUGAGUAAUGCCUAGGAAUCUGCCUGGUAGUGGGGGACAACGUUUCGAAAGGAACGCUAAUACCGCAUACGUCCUACGGGAGAAAGCAGGGGACCUUCGGGCCUUGCGCUAUCAGAUGAGCCUAGGUCGGAUUAGCUAGUUGGUGAGGUAAUGGCUCACCAAGGCGACGAUCCGUAACUGGUCUGAGAGGAUGAUCAGUCACACUGGAACUGAGACACGGUCCAGACUCCUACGGGAGGCAGCAGUGGGGAAUAUUGGACAAUGGGCGAAAGCCUGAUCCAGCCAUGCCGCGUGUGUGAAGAAGGUCUUCGGAUUGUAAAGCACUUUAAGUUGGGAGGAAGGGUUGCUGAUUAAUACUCUGCAAUUUUGACGUUACCGACAGAAUAAGCACCGGCUAACUCUGUGCCAGCAGCCGCGGUAA